rnacentral:rRNA from 1 species
UACGGGGGGGGCAAGCGUUGUUCGGAAUUACUGGGCGUAAAGGGUUCGUAGGUGGCCAACUAAGUCAUACGUGAAAUCCCUCAGCUUAACUGGGGAACUGCGUCUGAUACUGGUUGGCUUGGGUGCAGGAGAGGAACGCGGAAUUCCAGGUGUAGCGGUGAAAUGCGUAGAUAUCUGGAGGAACACCGGUGGCGAAGGCGGCGUUCUGGACUGCAACUGACACUGAGGAACGAAGGCCAGGGGAGCAAACGGG